CUGGCGUCCAUGGCGCCGGCGUAUCUCCAGCCGCCCCCUGCUCUUCCCUGCCCAUGGCCAAGGGACGCUCAGGACCCGACGCCCCUGCGUACGCUCCCUCCAUGGCUCCCUGUUCCUCAGCUCCAUGGGCGCGAGCCCCUUCUUCUACCUCUAGCUGGCGGCGAGCAGCAGCCCCACCUCCCUGCGCCCUUCUCCCCCAUGGGCUGCUUAUCCAGCUCGUCCCUCUCCUCCCCUCUGUUUUCCUGUGCGUGCGCAGAGGCUCCUCCAUGGCCGGCGCCCAGCAACAGUAGCAGCCGGGUCUUCGUCCUCCCUCUGCUGUCCGCGGCAUGCAGCAAACAGGGAGCUAAAGUUUCUUCCAUGGCUGCCGACCUCCUCUGCCCCCUUGCUGUCCCACCCCUUCUCCCUCAAGCCAGUGCCUUCCCCGACCACAUCUCCAUGACCGAGCAGCAGCUCUGCUCGCCCCCCUCCUUCUUUUUCCCUUGCACAGCAGCAAGAAGCCCCUGCUCGCAGCCUUGGCGUCCAACUUCGCUGCGCAGCGGUGCCGAUCCAAAACAGUGGCCCCGGAUCCCCUCCGCACUGCGUGCUUCACCGGAUCUGCGCAGCCCCAACAUCGACGUCGUUCACCUCGGAGAGAACCCCAUGUUUUGCGUGGAGAAGGCAAGCCGCUCGACGCUCGUCGAUGUUCGUAGCGAUGCACAAAUCGGAAUCUCCAUCGUCCUCACAAACAUCGAUUGGGUUUGUUUAUGGACCGAGAGAUGA
rnacentral:misc_RNA from 1 species